rnacentral:lncRNA from 1 species
GGGUGGAGAACGGUUUUAGUUAAAGGUCUCUGUGUUGGUUGGUUGAAACAAACAAAAAAAAAAAUGGCCUUCUACAGUUAUAAUUCAUUCUUAGCUAUUUUCUGGACAAGAUUGCCUGGCCAUUCCGUGCACCCUCCCUGCUCUCACUUCCCUCCACUUGCAUUUUUCCACUUGCCAGAUUCUCAUUUGCGUACAGCCUAUAUGAAAAACUGUGGAAGCAGGAAGUACUCCUACCCUGGGCUCACAGGCAACAAUAAAGUCCAUCCCUUACGAACCAGACUCCCCCAAAAACUGCACACGACUUGCUGGC